UUAAGCGACUAAGCGUACACGGUGGAUGCCCUGGCAGUCAGAGGCGAUGAAGGACGUGCUAAUCUGCGAAAAGCGCCGGCGAGGUGAUAUGAACCUUUGACCCGGCGAUGUCCGAAUGGGGAAACCCAGUGCAAUUCGUUGCACUAUCGUUAACUGAAUACAUAGGUUAACGAGGCGAACCGGGGGAACUGAAACAUCUAAGUACCCCGAGGAAAAGAAAUCAACCGAGAUUCCCCCAGUAGCGGCGAGCGAACGGGGAGGAGCCCAGAGUCUGAAUCAGCGUGUGUGUUAGUGGAACGGUCUGGAAAGUCCGGCGAUACAGGGUGACAGCCCCGUACACGAAAGCACACAGGCUGUGAACUCGAAGAGUAGGGCGGGACACGUGGUAUCCUGUCUGAAUAUGGGGGGACCAUCCUCCAAGGCUAAAUACUCCUGACUGACCGAUAGUGAACCAGUACCGUGAGGGAAAGGCGAAAAGAACCCCGGCGAGGGGAGUGAAAAAGAACCUGAAACCGUGUACGUACAAGCAGUGGGAGCACCCUUCGGGGUGUGACUGCGUACCUUUUGUAUAAUGGGUCAGCGACUUAUAUUCUGUAGCAAGGUUAACCGAAUAGGGGAGCCGAAGGGAAACCGAGUCUUAACUGGGCGUUAAGUUGCAGGGUAUAGACCCGAAACCCGGUGAUCUAGCCAUGGGCAGGUUGAAGGUUGGGUAACACUAACUGGAGGACCGAACCGACUAAUGUUGAAAAAUUAGCGGAUGACCUGUGGCUGGGGGUGAAAGGCCAAUCAAACCGGGAGAUAGCUGGUUCUCCCCGAAAGCUAUUUAGGUAGCGCCUCGUGAACUCAUCUUCGGGGGUAGAGCACUGUUUCGGCUAGGGGGUCAUCCCGACUUACCAACCCGAUGCAAACUGCGAAUACCGAAGAAUGUUAUCACGGGAGACACACGGCGGGUGCUAACGUCCGUCGUGAAGAGGGAAACAACCCAGACCGCCAGCUAAGGUCCCAAAGUCAUGGUUAAGUGGGAAACGAUGUGGGAAGGCCCAGACAGCCAGGAUGUUGGCUUAGAAGCAGCCAUCAUUUAAAGAAAGCGUAAUAGCUCACUGGUCGAGUCGGCCUGCGCGGAAGAUGUAACGGGGCUAAACCAUGCACCGAAGCUGCGGCAGCGACGCUUAGGCGUUGUUGGGUAGGGGAGCGUUCUGUAAGCCGUCGAAGGUGUGCUGUGAGGCAUGCUGGAGGUAUCAGAAGUGCGAAUGCUGACAUAAGUAACGAUAAAGCGGGUGAAAAGCCCGCUCGCCGGAAGACCAAGGGUUCCUGUCCAACGUUAAUCGGGGCAGGGUGAGUCGACCCCUAAGGCGAGGCCGAAAGGCGUAGUCGAUGGGAAACAGGUUAAUAUUCCUGUACUUGGUGUUACUGCGAAGGGGGGACGGAGAAGGCUAUGUUAGCCGGGCGACGGUUGUCCCGGUUUAAGCAUGUAGGCGGAGGUUCCAGGUAAAUCCGGUACCUUUUAACGCUGAGGUGUGAUGACGAGGCACUACGGUGCUGAAGUAACAAAUGCCCUGCUUCCAGGAAAAGCCUCUAAGCAUCAGGUAACACGAAAUCGUACCCCAAACCGACACAGGUGGUCAGGUAGAGAAUACCAAGGCGCUUGAGAGAACUCGGGUGAAGGAACUAGGCAAAAUGGUGCCGUAACUUCGGGAGAAGGCACGCUGACAUGUAGGUGAAGCCCCUGCGGGUGGAGCUGAAGUCAGUCGAAGAUACCAGCUGGCUGCAACUGUUUAUUAAAAACACAGCACUGUGCAAACACGAAAGUGGACGUAUACGGUGUGACGCCUGCCCGGUGCCGGAAGGUUAAUUGAUGGGGUUAUCCUCAGGGAGAAGCUCUUGAUCGAAGCCCCGGUAAACGGCGGCCGUAACUAUAACGGUCCUAAGGUAGCGAAAUUCCUUGUCGGGUAAGUUCCGACCUGCACGAAUGGCGUAAUGAUGGCCAGGCUGUCUCCACCCGAGACUCAGUGAAAUUGAACUCGCUGUGAAGAUGCAGUGUACCCGCGGCAAGACGGAAAGACCCCGUGAACCUUUACUAUAGCUUGACACUGAACAUUGAGCCUUGAUGUGUAGGAUAGGUGGGAGGCUUUGAAGCGUGGACGCCAGUCUGCGUGGAGCCAACCUUGAAAUACCACCCUUUAAUGUUUGAUGUUCUAACCUGGCGCCCUAAUCGGGCGUGGGGACAGUGUCUGGUGGGUAGUUUGACUGGGGCGGUCUCCUCCUAAAGAGUAACGGAGGAGCACGAAGGUUGGCUAAUCCUGGUCGGACAUCAGGAGGUUAGUGCAAUGGCAUAAGCCAGCUUGACUGCGAGCGUGACGGCGCGAGCAGGUGCGAAAGCAGGUCAUAGUGAUCCGGUGGUUCUGAAUGGAAGGGCCAUCGCUCAACGGAUAAAAGGUACUCCGGGGAUAACAGGCUGAUACCGCCCAAGAGUUCAUAUCGACGGCGGUGUUUGGCACCUCGAUGUCGGCUCAUCACAUCCUGGGGCUGAAGUAGGUCCCAAGGGUAUGGCUGUUCGCCAUUUAAAGUGGUACGCGAGCUGGGUUUAGAACGUCGUGAGACAGUUCGGUCCCUAUCUGCCGUGGGCGCUGGAGAAUUGAGGGGGGCUGCUCCUAGUACGAGAGGACCGGAGUGGACGCAUCACUGGUGUUCGGGUUGUCAUGCCAAUGGCAUUGCCCGGUAGCUACAUGCGGAAGAGAUAAGUGCUGAAAGCAUCUAAGCACGAAACUUGCCCCGAGAUGAGUUCUCCCUGAGACUUAGAGUCUCCUGAAGGAACGUUGAAGACGACGACGUUGAUAGGCCGGGUGUGUAAGCGCAGCGAUGCGUUGAGCUAACCGGUACUAAUGAACCGUGAGGCUUAACCUU
rnacentral:rRNA from 1 species